rnacentral:rRNA from 1 species
AGCGAACGCUGGCGGCAGGCUUAACACAUGCAAGUCGAACGCCAUCUUCGGAUGGAGUGGCAGACGGGUGAGUAACGCGUGGGAACGUACCCUUGGUUCGGAAUAUUCUCGGGAAACUGGGAGCAAUACCGGAUAAGCCCUACGGGGAAAGUUUUAAUGCCAUAAGAUGAGCCCGCAUUUGAUUAGUUAGUUGGUGAGGUAAUGGCUCACCAAGACAAUGAUCAAUAGCUGAUCUGAGAGGAUGAUCAGCCACACUGGGACUGAGACACGGCCCAGACUCCUACGGGAGGCAGCAGUGGGGAAUUUUGGACAAUGGGCGCAAGCCUGAUCCAGCCAUUCCGCGUGCAGGAUGAAGGCCCUCGGGUUGUAAACUGCUUUUGUACGGAACGAAAAGGUUCCCAUUAAUACUGGGAGCUCAUGACGGUACCGUAAGAAUAAGCACCGGCUAACUACGUG